GGGUGAUUAGCUCAGUUGGGAGAGCACCUCCCUUACAAGGAGGGGGUCGGCGGUUCGAUCCCGUCAUCACCCACCA
rnacentral:tRNA from 11 species